GGGGCUAUAGCUCAGUGGUAGAGCAGGUGCCUUGCAUGCAGAAGGACCCGGGUUCAAAACAAACCAUCUCCUCAUUGCCCUG